AAUCCCGGGGCUUGAUUCGGGCUCGGCCCGAUCCUCCCACCCUUUGUGUACCUACCUCUGUUGCUUUGGCGGGCCGCGGUCCUCCGCGGCCGCCCCCCUCCCCGGGGGGGUGGCCAGCGCCCGCCAGAGGACCAUCAAACUCCAGUCAGUAAACGAUGCAGUCUGAAAAACAUUUAAUAAACUAAAACUUUCAACAACGGAUCUCUUGGUUCUGGCAUCGAUGAAGAACGCAGCGAAAUGCGAUAAGUAAUGUGAAUUGCAGAAUUCAGUGAAUCAUCGAAUCUUUGAACGCACAUUGCGCCCUUUGGUAUUCCGAAGGGCAUGCCUGUUCGAGCGUCAUUACAACCCUCAAGCUCUGCUUGGUAUUGGGCACCGUCCUUUGCGGGCGCGCCUCAAAGACCUCGGCGGUGGCGUCUUGCCUCAAGCGUAGUAGAACAUACAUCUCGCUUCGGAGCGCAGGGCGUCGCCCGCCGGACGAACCUUCUGAACUUUUCUCAAGGUUGACCUCGGAUCAGGUAGGGAUACCCGCUGAACUUAAGCAUAUCAUAAGUGGGAGGAAUU
rnacentral:rRNA from 1 species